GUCAACGGCCAUACCACGUUGAAAGCACCGGUUCUCGUCCGAUCACCAAAGUUAAGCAGCAUCGUCGGGCGAAGUUAGUACUCAGAUGGGAGACCGCUCGGGAACACUUCGUGCUGUUGACA
rnacentral:rRNA from 1 species